CUUUCUUCUUCUCCAUUCUUCUUCUCGUUUCUUCAUCUGUUGGUGACUUUAGAAAACUGAAGUCAAGAUUUUUAGAUCGAGAGACGUAGGGUAUGAUUGAGUAGUGAUUGUUGUUGGUGGUACUAAAGUUGAUUAGCUCUGGGAAGAUGAAGAGAUGUCGAUGUUGCUGUAAGUUAGAAGUUAGGGUUUCGAUUUAGGUUCAAGAUAUGGAGGAAUUGGUUAAUUAAAGAAGGAUUUGGGUAGACCAAAGGGGGUUGGUGUUAUAUUGAAGUUCUGAAGCUGAUUCAGUGAUGAAUUGAAAAGGAGUUCUGGAAGAAUUAAAAGAUGAAUUAGAAGAUGAAAUUGAUGUUUUAAGAAGCGGAUUUGAGAUGGGUAUUGAUCGAUUGGAUGAAUUAGGGUUAGAGAUGAAGAGUAUUUUGAGUUCGAUGAAGUUAGGGAUUUUGAAGUUGUUUGUGAAGCUAAGGCUUGAUUCUGAUAAUAAGGAAACCAUGGAGUUAUCUCUGGUGAUGAACUGGUUGAUGUUGAGCAAAUCUGAUUGAGGUAAUUGUCUUCUUAAUAACUUACUAAAGCUAUUGAUUUCAGUUUAUGAGUUUAUGGAUGAUGAUGAUUAGAUAAUGAAACUGAAGUUUAUAGUUUAGAUUUUGUUGAAUUUGCAAGUAAGUUAGUAGAACUGGUGGUUUGUGGAUAUUAAGAUUUGAAAUAGGUUAUUGAGAAGUGAUGGAUUUUGCUGGAGUUGUGGUUGUUGAAGAUGGUAUUGGUACUGAGUUUUGAAUGGUUGGUUGAACUGGAACCAUAGUGGUUUAUGAAUUACAAAGAUUAUGUGUUGGAAUAAGAAAUUGUAAGGGGUGUUAUUGAUGUCUACAAUAGUUGGGACUUAGAUGAAUGUUUGGAGUUUUGUAGAGGGAAUGAGUCUUGCCAGUGGGUUGAGGCUGUGGUGUUAUAGUUGGAAUUAGGAUCAAGAGUGUUGCUUGACUGGUUGUAUUGGUUUGAGUCUGACGAAUCACAAUAGCAAGGAUGUGAAGUUGGAGGUACUGUUAGUGCUAAAUUAUGUAAGUGGUUGUGUUGAGAAUUGAAUGGCAGGAAUGAAUAUUUUGUUGGUGUUAUGUGAGUCGGUAACGGGAGGAACAUAUGGAUUGAAAUUAUAGGGAGACAGGUUAGCUAUUGUUGGUUGAUUGUUUGUAUUGAGAUACAGUUGUGACUGUUGGGAAUGGAAUGAGAUGAACUGAUGUUGAGGUUGUGGGAGGUUUUAGCUCUGACAUUGCAGUUGAGCUGUUGAGCUUUGGCAGUGAGGUUUGGAUCUGAACUCAGUUGAAUGGGAUAGAGAAAUAGAUUGUUAGAGUUUAUUGAAGUGAUAAUGAUUAAGGUUGUAAGAGAUGUUAUGUGACUGAAGUUUUAGAAAGAGAUUUAAAUGAUUGUGUUGAGAUGAUCUGAGUAUAGCUUAAAGCUGCAAUUGCAGUUAGACUCUAUUAACUACGAUCGAUUCAAAGGACGAACCACUGGAUCGUGGAUCUCGAGGUAGGCGUGGCUUGUCAUCAAAAGAUGUGGGAAUACAUUUAACUCUUCUGAAACCAUUUUUGUUUCUUUUACAAAAGUUGAUGUUUAAAAAACUCAUGCAUUGUCUGUUUGUGCAUUUCAUACUUUGUUUAAUUUGUAUUAUGUUUGUUUUGUUGAUCCUUUGAAUCUUUCCAUGAAUUGCAAAGGACUUGUAAUGUUGGUUGUCAUUAUGAAUUGUUAUGGGAAA